CCUUAAAACUGUCGUAGGUUGAUCUUAGCAAAGAUAUCCUAAACCUGUCGCAUGAUCUUUUAAUUUAAACAAAAAGUAACCUGGAUUUAUGGAAAAUUCAUGUAAAUGUAGAAUGUGUUUCCCAUAUAUUACUAAACGCAUUGAUUAAUAUUUCAAAUUUUCAAAGAUGGAAAUUUGUUCAUCUACAGGAUACACCAAGGGACAA
rnacentral:lncRNA from 1 species